UGUGUAAAGGAGCAUAUCGAAUAUGCGACAUUCUCUCACGCGAUUGACGCGACACUUUGUGGAUCGUAAGAUCAGUCGGUAAUUUCUUACUAAUCGCUUCGAUUUUUUUUUCUGUACUACCGGCGGAAAAGUGAAUUGCGUCUUGUUGUAAAUCGACUGUAAUCAUUGCAUUUCUCGCGAAUAUACUUUUACAGAAUUGUCAAUCUCUGUGAAAUUUCUGUGUGAUUUUAUGUGUUGGAGAUGAUUGAUUCGAAAGUGGUAUUGCGAAUAAAGAUGGUUCAAGGAAAUAGAGAAGGUUAGGAAAUAGAAUCGAUUAUGGUUGAAAUAAAUUUAUGCUGAAUCGUAAUUCUCUGCUGCAAUACAAGCAUUGAUAUAAGAUAUUUAAAUGAUAAGAAUGUACGAUAAAUAUUUUCUAAAUAAUGUUUUAUUUUUUGGUCAAGAAGAUAACAGAGAAAAUUUACGAGAUAGAAGUCGAAGUCAGAUUGUGAACAGAUGGCAAUUUGUAUUAGAUGGAAAAAAUGAGGAAGGGCUGGAUCAAAGUCCUUGCGGUUGGUAUGUGCAAAAUACCAAGCGUAGCUGCACGCACGGCCCGGAAUGUCAGGGCACGGAAUUUCUCGACGAUUUCCCUCAACUGUUCUCGUAAUAUCCUCAAGCUAGAAAAUUUAUAUAUAUUUCUUAAAUCAUAGAAUCAUUCUUGCGUCGAUUUAUCUAACCUUCCACCAUCGUAAGUAUAAUCUAAAAGCGACAAAGUUGAAAGAACAUCGAAUACAUUUACGUCGUUCUAUCAUUAUUGAGCUAUUAAAACAUACUUUACAAAAAAUAUAUGGCUCGAUUCAUAGUUGCACGUCAGGUUUCAGAAGAAACAGAUGUCUGAACGAAAGCGAGCAAGUGGCUAAUUGACUAACGAGCUAUUCGUGGCUCGUACAACAUUAGCCGUCAUAGUCAGAAAAUAUUGAGAGAUUGAGAAGAGAGAAAAAACAAGCAAAGCAACCGAUACGAAUAGGAGAAACACGAAGAAGAAAAAGAAGAUCGUCUGAAGAAAAGAGAAUCGCGAAGAUGGGCGAUCCUGUUCGAGUAGUGGACUGCUGGGCCAGUGGUGGUUUUAUUGCUUUUAAUGUAAUCGAGCCGGGCGUCCUUUAUCAUCGCGAGAAAAAAUGGCCAUUUAAUCACGGCGUUUCCCGACGUGGGGUCCGUGCGCACCCCUCCGGCGCGCCGCCUCGAGAAUCAUUCCGAUAUUAAUAGUGGAUGGUUUGACCGCGUAAUAUGAGGAAUCGUUGGCGCGCGCGUAUAAUAUCACUCGGUCGUGCCAAGUGGCUCGAGAAACACGCAUGUUACACGGCCGAGAAUGACAAAUUAAUCGUCUGCUUGGUUGGCCCUGCUCAACGCAUCGAAUCCUAUAAUAUGUCUGAGAAAUGAUAUUCAAUGGAAGAAACAUUUCGUUCGAUUCUGAUCUAUACGAAUCGUACUAUACGGAAAGAAAUUGGUUUGUAAUUGAGAAUUUUAGGUUAAGUUUGGAAUAUUAAUAGAUAUUUCAUAUAUAUUAAAUCCAUGCUAUAGAAUAUUUGAUAUGAUUUCUUUACUACACAGUGUACCAGAAAUACAAAGUGUACCACAUAUCUAACUAGGAAUCUCAUCAACUGAUCACCUGCAAUCACAUUUCCAAAUAGAACAUCACGGUCGGGUGGCGCUGCAGUCGAGGAGGAUUGCGGCAGCUCGAGCCCGUUACAAAGUCGGCAAUUAUCGAGGAGGAGUGGCCCCAGUCGACCUCUUUGAAAACGCGCGUUACUCGAUGUCCUCUCCUCCGUCACGAUGGAUGCACUCGCGGUAUGCCGUUGAUGUCACGUGGACUGGGCAGCGUCGGGUCUCGUAGGUUAAUUUCACCGCGAUAAGAUCGUAUGAGCGGAUUACGCGGCGGAACACGAUCGAACACCUGUAACGAACAUGAUUUUCUUAUGAACGGUGGAACGGUCCGCGUCCGGUUUUCCCUCUAUUCGAGAGUUACACGAUACGCCCAAUAUUUUCUCGAUAUAUAUCCAUAUGAGUAGAUGAGAGGCGGAGAAGAGGAACUCGCCAGGACAUGCGCGCGAUUUUUUCAACACGCGAUGGGGAUUUCAGAUUAUACGAUCGGGGUUAAUGACUGAGGUGUAGCCGAGCGGUCUAGGAAUACCGCUCUGAGUUUUCUUAUCGAUUACAUCUUGAUUAGGGAAAGCAAUGGACCGUAUGAAACUGUUGCACGAGCAUUGGAAAUUCGUAAUACGCCUUGAUAUGCUUGAACUGGAAACGAUUUAAAUCGUGGAAUUUAUGGAAUUAAUGGUAUUCCAAUCGAUGUAUGAUUAUAUCUUUAUUGCAUGUAUAAUAAUUGAUUUAUUUUUAUAACGUAAAAAUGUCUUCACGUUCUCAUAUUUCUUAAUAUAUAUAUAUAUAUAUAUAUUUAUUUAUUAUGUUAAAAGCAACACUUAUUUAUUAGCUAUUGGAAGUUAUAGGAUUAAUGGAAAAAGAAUAGUCUUUUACUAGAAGAAAUUAGAAGAAAAAAAUACAAAUUAUCUUCCAUACGAAUUAUAAUUAAAUGAUAUUCAUAUUUGUUUAAACAUUCUUACACUUUUUAUUCAAAAAUGUAUUAUCACGAUUCAUAAAAUAACAUCGUUUAUAGAAAUAUCUUAUUUAAAAAUGAUAUUUAAAAACAGGUGAUGAACAACUAUUUGGAAAAAAUGAAUUUGGAAAAUCCGACCACCCACAGCAAAUUCGUGUAGGCGUUGCAUCGAUGCUUGGCCGAGCGCAAAUAGUGAGGGAGAACCGGUACUCUUCAAGAGUCGUCAUUCUAUUCGAAACACUUUCUCUGGAUCGAUUGAUCCUGAGGACACGAUUCGAUCCAGUUCAAUGCUUAUGUUCAUUGUUCCAUUAUUUUUCAUUCUCCAAUAUAUCAAUAAUCAUACAUUCAUUUUAAUUUACAUAUAUUCUUAAUAUUGCAAUUUUGAUUUUGAUUGAAAUGGAAUUACAAAAUGUUUUUAAAAAUUAGAUAAUAUAUAUGUAUAUAUAAUUCAAGUGAAAUAUUGAACAUAACCUCAACGGAAAAGGAUUAAUUAAAAUCGAAGACGAAGGAGAAUUCACCCGGUGCACAAGGCUACGAUAUUCCUGUUCCUUUUGUCCGCACGGAUCGCUGCUUCGAGCAGCCGAGCUGAAAGUGCCAACGAUUAAUAACAUGAUACGCACGCAGUGAGGAUCUCUCGUAUUCGCCAUUAGUCGUAGCCGCGCUCUUAUCGCGGCACGGUCUCUCCACGGUUACGGUCACGAUUUCGGAGACAUUGGUGCGCAACCGACCGUAUAAUUUACUGCAAAUCAGCGUCAAUUUAGCGAUACUCGACUAGAUCAUCGUCAACCUCUUUUAUCUGUUCUGUUCGAAUAGAUAGAGCUCAUUGGAAUUAUGAGAAAAGCGUAUUAUUGGAACGAGUUUUUAAGAGUAUCAGUAAUAUAAUUAAUUAGAAAAGAGAGGAAAAUCCACACAGAAAUAAUAUGAAGUCGUUAGUAGCAAGAUACCAAUGGUAGAAAGGAAAAUAUAAGAGACGAGUGUACAUAGGGAUUAAAUCGUGUACGAGGCUCCACCUGUGAACAGCAUUGCACUCGACCGUUUGCAAGUCCAAUGCUACGACUUUUCAUGCAACAUUGUGAGGAACGUACGUAGCGCUUCCGUAAUAUUACCUCAAAGAUUAUACGGAACAGGAUACUUUUAUUAAAAUCCGAGACAGAAAUCUCGUCAGCAGUCGUAAACUUCAAAGUACCGACGAUAAGAACUGUGGGGGACGAAUCGAUAUCAAGGCGGUGUCCUAUAGGGAAAUUCUCUUUCAUGGAAUGCGGACUCAUUGCCCGACGUUAUAAAAUUAAGCAUCGCGUUUCAACAUGCAAUCGCGCUGUAUGCUACCAGUUUCUCGCGAUGAUUCGUUCACAGGAGAAUGCAAGCUGAUUGCCUGGAACAUUAUGACUGUGGUAUACAGAAUGAAUAUUUGCUAAUUUUUAAUUUAAUAAUUUUUAUUUAACUUAUCUCUGUUGAUUGGGAAAGUCGAAUUAACUCGUUAUCUAUAUUGUUAAUAUUAUAAUAAUUAUACAUACAUAUAUAUGUAUAUGCAUAUAUUAUUAAAAUUGAGAUUAAUACAA